rnacentral:rRNA from 1 species
AGCGGGGCCCAUCCCGUAAGGCUAAAUACUCCCGAGAGACCGAUAGCGAACCAGUACUGUGAAGGAAAGGUGAAAAGAACCUCGAACAGAGGAGUGAAAAAGACCCUGAAACCAUACGCCUACAAGCGGUCGGAGCCCCUACGUGGGGUGACGGCGUGCCUUUUGCAUAAUGAACCUACGAGUUACUUUUGCCAGCCAGGUUAAUCGAUUCAGUCGAGGAGCCGAAGCGAAAGCGAGUCUUAAUAGGGCGGUAUAAGUUGGCAGGAGUAGACGCGAAACCAAGUGAUCUACCCAUGAGCAGGUUGAAGGUUAGGUAACACUAACUGGAGGACCGCACCGGUAAACGUUGAAAAGUUUUCGGAUGACUUGUGGGUAGGGGUGAAAGGCUAAUCAAACUUGGAGAUAGCUCGUACUCCCCGAAAUGCAUUUAGGUGCAGCCUUCUGACUAUAUUUAAGAGGUAGAGCGACUGAUAAGAUGCGAGGGCUUCACCGCCUAUCAAGUCUUGAUAAACUCCGAAUGCUUAAAUAAGAAUCAGAGGAGUGAGGGCAUGGGUGCUAAGGUCCAUGUCCGAGAGGGAAAUAACCCAGACCACCGGCUAAGGUCCCGAAAUAACGGCUAAGUUGAAUUAACGAAGUAGAAUUGCAAAGACAGCUAGGAUGUUGGCUUGGAAGCAGCCAUUCAUUUAAAGAGUGCGUAACAGCUCACUAGUCGAGGAGUUUUGCAUGGAUAAUAAUCGGGCAUAAGCCCUUUACCGAAGCUGUGGAUGUCGUAAGACAUGGUAGGGGAGCAUUCCGGCGGCGACGAAGGCCGUCCUCGAGGACGACUGGAGCUUUCGGAAAAGCAAAUGUAGGUAUAAGUAACGAUAAAGGGGGCGUGAAACCCCCUCGCCAUAAGACUAAGGAUUCCUGAUCAACGCUAAUCGGAUCAGGGUAAGUCGGGCCCUAAGGCGCAGCCGAACGGCGUAGCCGAUGGAAGAAACGGUAAAGAUUCCGUUACUGGAUAUAGGAGCGAUGUGGAGACGGAGAAGUGACACACCCGCCUGCCGACGGAAGCGCAGGUUAAAGGAAGUAGGUAAACGCCGGGUAGGCAAAUCCGCCUGGCGUGCCGAAGCUGACAGUAUCGAGAGCCCCCGGGCAAUCGAAUAGCGGUGGUAAUCAGGCUCCCAAGAAAAUCCGCUAAGCAUAUUCUAUAUCCACCCGUACCCCAAACGGACACACGUAGUCGGGUAGAAUAUACCAAGGCGCUCGAAAGACUCACGGUUAAGGAACUAGGCAAAUUGACCCUGUAACCUCGGGAAAAAGGGUCCCCAGUAAGAUGGGGCGCAGAGAAUAGGUCCAGGCAACUGUUUAACAAAAACACAGGGCUGUGCAAAAUUUCAAGAUGAAGUAUACAGCCUGACACCUGCCCGGUGCCGGAAGGUUAAGAGGAGAGCUAAUCGCAAGAGAAGGCUUGAAUUGAAGCCCCGGUAAACGGCGGCCGUAACUAUAACGGUCCUAAGGUAGCGAAAUUCCUUGUCGGGUAAGUUC